UACGGAGGAUGCAAGCGUUAUCCGGAUUUAUUGGGUUUAAAGGGUGCGUAGGCGGGGCAAUUAGUCAGUGGUGAAAUCCUGCGGCUUAACCGUAGAAUUGCCAUUGAUACUGUUGCCCUUGAGUAUAGUUGAAGUGGGCGGAAUAUGUAAUGUAGCGGUGAAAUGCAUAGAGAUUACAUAGAACACCAAUUGCGAAGGCAGCUCACUAAGCUAUCACUGACGCUGAGGCACGAAAGCGUGGGGAGCGAACAGG
rnacentral:rRNA from 1 species